rnacentral:miRNA from 1 species
CCCGAGCCCGGGGCUCUCUCU